rnacentral:rRNA from 1 species
AUUGAACGCUGGCGGCAUGCCUUACACAUGCAAGUCGAACGGCAGCGGGGGAGAAGCUUGCUUUUCCUGCCGGCGAGUGGCGAACGGGUUAGGAAUACUUCGGAACGUGGCCUGUAGGGGGGGAUAAGUAGUCGAAAGAUUAGCUAAUAUCGCAUAAGACCUGACUGUGAAAGUGGGGGACCGCAAGGCCUCAUGCUAUAGGCGCGGGCAAUGUUUGAUUAGCUAGUUGGCGGGGUAAAGGCCUACCAAAGCGACGAUCAGUGGCUGGUCUGAGAGGAUGACCAGCCACACUGGAACUGAGACACGGUCCAGACUCCUACGGGAGGCAGCAGUGGGGAAUAUUGCACAAUGGGCGCAAGCCUGAUGCAGCCAUGCAGCGUGUAUGAAGAAGGCCUUCGGGUUGUAAAGUACUUUCAGCGGGGAGGAAGGCGGUGAAGUUAAUAGCUUAACCGAUUGACGUUACCCGCAGAAGAAGCACCGGCUAACUCCGUGCCAGCAGCAGCCGCGG